UCGGGUACGUGUCGGAUCCUUCAAAAAUAGUGUAUAUUUGGAGGAUCCGACAACUUUUUUGGAGAGUCCGAGCAACUUGGGUCAUUGUCAGGUCAACUGGUGAGAUGAUUGAUGAUGCAUUCACAGGGGCAAGCAGACAUGUCGACCAUAUCCUACUCGUUGGUUCUUCAGUGGAAAAAAUUAUCGUCUGAAGACAACGAGCAAAUCUUCUUUGUACAUGGUCAAUGGCGUCGCGAGUUGCUUACUUCUUGUUGUAUAAGCAGAUUGCUAGUGGCUCAAUCCUCACUUUGUCACCAAUGCCAGCAAAAUGAGUGAAAUUUUGGUCUGUAACGUCGCAUUGCAGACAAGAUUUCUUAUGUAAACAGAACACCACCGCGUGUCUGGCAUAGACUUCCAGGCUGUUCAUCGCGAUACCUGUCUUUGACGCGUUAAAGAAUGUGGCAAAUCAUGCUAAAAACUUCAACCGAAAAGAGCAUAUGCAUCAGAAUGACAACCGAUUUAUUUACUUUAGUCUAAAUAUCAAACGAUAUAAUUGAGUUGAUAAAAAGUAUUUCAUCGACUUUAUGUUAUGUGAAGGUGUUUGACUAGUGUGGAAGAGGUAAUUAGAAAGACUUUUGAAACUUGUAGUUUUAGACAUAACAUUUACAUGGCUCUAACAAUGAUGUCAUUAAGAGUAACAUGAAAAGUAUAAAGCUAAAUUACUUCGAAAUAUAAUAAAUAAUCAUUUGUUUUGAAACAGACCAAAAAGAGCAUAUUAUCACUUUCGAGAGUCCCCUGAUCGCCUUUUUCUUAUACGAUCAAUAUCGAUCAGAGGCUCGGGAAUCAAGCCCAUCUAUAGAACAUAGACAAGGAGCAGAAGAUCAAUACAUAGUCAUUGGCUAUGUUGCUCGGACUCUUCAGAAAUGUCAUCGGGUACGUGUCGGAUCCUUCAAAAAUAGUGUAUAUUUGGAGGAUCCGACAACUUUUUUGGAGAGUCCGAGCAACUUGGGUCAUUGUCAGGUCAACUGGUGAGAUGAUUGAUGAUGCAUUCACAGGGGCAAGCAGACAUGUCGACCAUAUCCUACUCGUUGGUUCUUCAGUGGAAAAAAUUAUCGUCUGAAGACAACGAGCAAAUCUUCUUUGUACAUGGUCA
rnacentral:lncRNA from 1 species